AACGAAUGCUGGCGGCAGGCUUAACACAUGCAAGUCGAACGGGCGCGAGCAAUCGCGUCAGUGGCAGACGGGUGAGUAACACGUGGGAACCUUCCUUAAGGUACGGGACAACUCAGGGAAACUUGAGCUAAUACCGUAUACGUCCGUGAGGAGAAAGAUUUAUCGCCUUUAGACGGGCCCGCGUCGGAUUAGCUAGUUGGUGGGUAACGGCCGUACCAAGGCGACGAUCCGUAGCUGAUCUGAGAGGAUGAUCAGCCACACUGGGACUGAGACACGGCCCAGACUCCUACGGGAGGCAGCAGUGGGGAAGUCUUGGACAAUGGGCGCAAGCCUGAUCCAGCCAUGCCGCGUGAGUGAAGAAGGCCUUAGGGUUGUAAAGCUCUUUUACCAGGGACGAUAAUGACGGUACCUGGAGAAUAAGCCCCGGCAAACUUCGUGCCAGCAGCCGCAGU
rnacentral:rRNA from 1 species